rnacentral:misc_RNA from 1 species
GAAUUGAAUUGAAUUGAAUUGUUUUUGAUGCUGUGAAUGACAAACUAGUUUGGUGAAUUGAAUUGUUAUUGUCAAGUAUGUUUGAUGAUGCAUUGCAAACUGAGUUGGUCAUUUGGGGAGUGAGAAAGAUAGAAAUUGAUAUCACACUAUCAUUUAGUUGAAAACAGUAUCAUUUAUUCCUGCUUUAUUCUGCUUAGAAAUUUCUGUUCCAGAGAAUCUAGAUUUUCAUCCUCAAACAAAGUGGGUAGGGGGAAAAAAGAAAGAAAGAAUCUUGUGAAAAUUCAUCUUUCUGAUUAUCUGGACUGUCAUCAAACAGACUGGUCCUGGAAUGAGUUGUGUAAUCUUGUAUAAAUUGUGUUCAUUUUUGCGACUUUAUACUAAACAAGGAAAGAUUACAAUCAAUAAAUAUCUUAUCAAAUAUGAUAUGAUGCUGGCCUAAUUAUAUGAAGAUGCCUUUGAAAUAAAUGGAAAUCUAAGAUUACUUGCUUCAAAUCCAUCAUCAAUACCACCCGCUGUCUCAUACUGCCAUCACCAGCCAUAUAUUCUGCCAUUAUGAGAUUUUGGUGAUUGUCUCAGCAAGCAUUUUAGAUUGUCUUCAUACCAAGGGUCCUUAGAUAUGGACGCUUCUUAGCCACUCUUAACUCUAUUGCCACCUCCUCCUUCGUGGGGGAUUCAUCCCCACUCCUGUUCAAGCAUCUUUUUGUUAACUCAUCAGCCACUUGUCUAA